rnacentral:ribozyme from 1 species
AAAAAAGUAAAGGAAGGGAGAUUAAAAAGAAAAAGCCACACCCUGAUUUAAUGUGUCUUCUCUUUCUCGAUUCUCCUCCAUAUUAUUCUUCUUCCCUCUUCUGAC